rnacentral:rRNA from 1 species
CGAACGCUGGCGGCGUGCCUAAUACAUGCAAGUAGAACGCUGAAGGAGGAGCUUGCUCUUCUGGAUGAGUUGCGAACGGGUGAGUAACGCGUAGGUAACCUGCCUGGUAGCGGGGGAUAACUAUUGGAAACGAUAGCUAAUACCGCAUAACAGUAGAUGUUGCAUGACAUUUGCUUAAAAGGUGCAAUUGCACCACUACCAGAUGGACCUGCGUUGUAUUAGCUAGUUGGUGGGGUAACGGCUCACCAAGGCGACGAUACAUAGCCGACCUGAGAGGGUGAUCGGCCACACUGGGACUGAGACACGGCCCAGACUCCUACGGGAGGCAGCAGUAGGGAAUCUUCGGCAAUGGACGGAAGUCUGACCGAGCAACGCCGCGUGAGUGAAGAAGGUUUUCGGAUCGUAAAGCUCUGUUGUAAGAGAAGAACGAGUGUGAGAGUGGAAAGUUCACACUGUGACGGUAUCUUACCAGAAAGGGACGGCUAACUACGUG